UCCUCUAGGCCACGGCUUAGGGGGAGAGAGUUGGCCGCUGUAAGCCGCGGUGUGUGCGGGCGCGUGCUGGCCGCGUCGGGUGCGUCAUUCCCGUAGCUAGCAUGUGCAUGUGUUGGUCGUGGCCGUGGUGAGUGGAGUCUCCGAGCCGGCCGAGUCUCUGUGCGGCAGUUCCUGCAUGUGUGGUGCGUGGGAGCUGCGUCUCCGCAGCCUACAAAGCCGGCCAUUUCCAGGUUGUUAGCAGCGUGCAUGUAGCUAGGUAGUUAGUGCAUGGGUUAGUGGCCGAUCUGGCGUGCAUGCCUCUAGGUAUUAAAGUGGCCACGGUGCUGGUGUGUAGGUGUGCCAGAGAAGAGAGAUGUAGCCUCUCAGUGUAUGUGUGCUCGCCGUGAGGGUGUGUGUGUUGAGUUCGAGCUCAAGGAAAGCGUUCGUGCGCUGGCAAACCCUCCCCGUGUCCUUCCUCGUCCUGUUGUCUUCGUCCUCCUCGUGUCGUUUGAGCGCAGCAGCGAGGGAGAGCGUGUGUGGGCUAGCGAGGGAGAAGGCCACGGUAACAACAAUUGGUAUCGGAGCAUCGGGUUCGGAGGAGCUCGCCGGCGAUGGCGCUCGUCCCGUGCGGCGGCGGAGCACGGUGACGCCGUGCGUAGGGGGAGCGCGGCAGCCGCGGCGGACCUGCGCGGUGGCGCAGAGGCUACGGUGGCGCGGUGCGGCUCGGCGGAGGGAAAGCCAAGCUCCGGGACACGCCGGAUCGGGCGCGUUGGUCGCGUCGGAGCGCGAUCAUGGCGCGGGCUGGUGGCGUGCGGAGCGUGGCAAAACAAGCCGCGGCGACGGGCUCACCGCAUCGGGCGCGUGUAUGGGCGCGUGCCAGACGUAGCGGGCAGAUCGGGACCGCGGGUGCGGACCACGUCGGGGCGCUGGACCUGGUGCGCAUAUCGCGUACGUGCGCGGCGGGAACGCGAGGACGUGGGGUGUGCGCGGCGAAGGGCACGGCGGCACGGUAGCAGGCGUGGCAGCGACGUCGGGGCGGUGGCGGCUACAACGACGUCGACCGCGCGGCGGAGCGCGCGCUGCGGGCGGACGGCAGGGUCGAGGACGUCGGUCUCCAAUAGGCCACGGCUUAGGGGGAGAGUGUUGGCCGCUGUAAGCCGCGGCGUGUGCGGGCGCGCGCUGCCGCGUCGGGUGCGUCAUUCCCGUAGCUAACAUGUGCAUGUGUUGGUCGUGGCCGUAGUGAGUGGAUUCUCCGAGCCGGCCGAGUCUCUGUGCGGCAGUUCCUGCAUGUGUGUUGCGUGGGAGCUGUGUCUCCGCAGGCUACAAAGCCAGCCAUUUCCAGGUUGUUAGCAGCGUGCAUGUAGCUAGGUAGUUAGUGCAUGAGUUAGUGGCCGAUCUGGCGUACGUGCCUCUGGGUAUUAAAGUGGCCACAGUGCUGGUGUGUAGGUGCGCCAGAGAAGAGAGAUGUAGCCUCUCAGUGUAUGUGUGCUCGCCGUGAGGGUGUGUGUGUUGAGUUCGAGCUCAAGGAAAGCGUUCGUGCGCUGGCAAACCCACCCCGUGUCCUUCCUCUUCCUGUUGUCUUCGUCCUCCUCGUGUCGUUCGAACGCAGCAGCGAGGGAGAGCGUGUGUGGGCUAGCGAGGGAGAAGGCCACGGUAACAACAAUUGGUAUCGGAGCAUCGGGUUCGGAGGAGCUCGCCGGCGAUGGCGCUCGUCCCGUGCGGCGGCGGAGCACGGUGACCCCGUGCGUAGGGGGAGCGCGGCGGCCGCGGCGGACCUGCGCGGUGGCGCAGAGGCUGCGGUGGCGCGGCGCGGCUCGGCAGUGGGAAGGCCAAGCUCCGGGACACGCCGGAUCGGCCGCGUUGGUCGCGUCGGAGCGCGAUCAUGGCGCGGGCUGGUGGCGUGCGGAGCGUGGCAGAACAAGCCGCGGCGACGGGCUCACCGCGCCGGGCGCGUGUAUGGGCGCGUGCCAGACGUAGCGGGCACAUCGGGACCACGGGUGCGGACCACGUCGGGGUGCUGGACCUAGUGCGCAUAUCGCGUACGUGCGCGGCGGGAGCGCGGGCCGGGAGUGCGAGGACGUGGGGUGUGCGCGGCGAAGGGCACGGCGGCACGGUGGCAGGCGUGGCAGCGACGUCGGGGCGGUGGCGGCUACAACGACGUCGACGGCGCGGUGGAGCACGCGCUGCGGGCGGACGGCAACGUCGAGGACGUCGGUCUCCUCUAGGCCACGGCUUAGGGGGAGAGUGUUGGCCGCUGUAAGCCGCGGCGUGUGCGGGCGCGCGCUGGCCGCGUCGGGUGCGUCAUUCCCGUAGCUAGCAUGUGCAUGUGUUGGUCGUGGCCGUGGUGAGUGGAGUCUCCGAGCCGGCCGAGUCUCUGUGCGGUAGUUCCUGCAUAUGUGGUGCGUGGGAGCUGCGUCUCCGCAGGCUACAAAGCCGGCCAUUUCCAGGUUGUUAGCAGCGUGCAUGUAGCUAGGUAGUUAGUGCAUGGGUUAGUGGCCGAUCUGGCGUGCGUGCCUCUGGGUAUUAAAGUGGCCACGAUGCUGGUGUGUAGGUGCGCCAGAGAAGAGAGAUGUAGCCUCUCAGUGUAUGUGUGCUCGCCGUGAGGGUGUGUGUGUUGAGUUCGAGCUCAAGGAAAGCGUUCAUGCGCUGGCAAACCCUCCCCGUGUCCUUCCUCUUCCUGUUGUCUUCGUCCUCCUCGUGUCGUUCGAGCGCAGCAGCGAGGGAGAGCGUGUGUGGGCUAGCGAGGGAGAAGGCCACGGUAACAACAAUUGGUAUCGGAGCAUCGGGUUCGGAGGAGCUCGCCGGCGAUGGCGCUCGUCCCGUGAGGCGGCGGAGCACGGUGACGCCGUGCGUAGGGGGAGCGUGGCGGCCUCGGCGGACCUGCGCGGUGGCGCAGAGGCUGCGGUGGCACGGCGCGGCUCGGCGGAGGGAAGGCCAAGCUCCGGGACACGCCGGAUCGGCUGCGUUGGUCGCGUCGGAGCGCGAUCAUGGCGCGGGCUGGUGGCGUGCGGAGCGUGGCAGAACAAGCCGCGGCGACGGGCUCACCGCGUCGGGCGCGUGUAUGGGCGCGCGCCAGACGUAGCGGGCACAUCGGGACCGCGGGUGCGGACCACGUCGGGGCGCUGGACCUGGUGCGCAUAUCGCGUACGUGCACGGCGGGAGCGCGUGCCGGGAGCGCGAGGACGUGGGGUAUGCGCGGCGUAGGGCACGGCGGCACGGUGGCAGGCGUGGCAGCGACGUCGGGGCGGUGUCGGCUACAACGACAUCGACGGCGCGGCGGAGCGCGCGCUGCGGGCGGACGGCAGCGUCGAGGACGUCGGUCUCCUCUAGGCCAUGGCUUAGGGGGAGAGUGUUGGGCGCUGUAAGCUACGGCGUGUGCGGGCGCGCGCUGGCCGCGUCGGGUGCGUCAUUCCCGUAGCUAGCAUGUGCAUGUGUUGGUCGUGGCCGUGGUGAGUGGAGUCUCCGAGCCGGCCGAGUCUCUGUGCGAUAGUUCCUGCAUGUGUGGUGCGUGGGAGCUGCGUCUCCGCAGGCUACAAAGCCGGCCAUUUCCAGGUUGUUAGCAGCGUGCAUGUAGCUAGGUAGUUAGUGCAUGGGUUAGUGGCCGAUCUGGCGUGCGUGCCUCUGGGUAUUAAAGUGCCCACGGUGCUGGUGUGUAGGUGCGCUAGAGAAGAGAGAUGUGGCCUCUCAGUGUAUGUGUGCUCGCCGUGAGGGUGUGUGUGUUGAGUUCGAGGUCAAGGAAAGCGUUCGUGCGUUGGCAAACCCUCCCCGUGUCCUUCCUCGUCCUGUUGUCUUCGUCCUCCUCGUGUCGUUCGAGCGCAGCAGCGAGGGAGAGCGUGUGUGGGCUAGCGAGGGAGAAGGCCACGGUAACAACAAUUGGUAUCGGAGCAUCGGGUUCGGAGGAGCUCGCCGGCGAUGGCGCUCGUCCCGUGCGGCGGUGGAGCACGGUGACGCCGUGCGUAGGGGGAGCGCGGCGGCCGCGGCGGACCUGCGCGGUGGCGGGGCGCGGCUCGGCGGAGGGAAGGCCAAGCUCUGGGACACGCCGGAUCGGGCGUGUUGGUCGCGUCGGAGCGCGAUCAUGGCGCGGGCUGGUGGCGUGCGGAGCGUGGCAGAACAAGCCGCGGCGACGGGCUCACAGCGUCGGGCGUGUGUAUGGGCGCGUGCCAGACAUAGCGGGCACAUCGGGACCGCGGGUGCGGACCACGUUGGGGCACUGGACCUGGUGCGCAUAUCGCGUACGUGCGCGGCGGGAACGCGGGCCGGGAGCGCGAGGACGUGGGGUGUGCGCGGCGAAGGGCACGGCGGCAGGCGUGGCAGCGACGUCGGGGCGGUGGCGGCUACAACGACGUCGACGGUGCGGCGGAGCGCGCGCUGCGGGCGGACGGCAGCGUCGAGGACUUCGGUCUCCUCUAGGCCACGGCUUAGGGGGAGAGUAUUGGACGCUGUAAGCCGCGGCGUGUGCGAGCGUGCGCUGGCCGCGCCGGGUGCGUCAUUCCCGUAGCUAGCAUGUGCAUGUGUUGGUCGUGGCCGUGGUGAGUGGAGUCUCCGAGCCGGCCGAGUCUCUGUGCGGCAGUUCCUGCAUGUGUGGUGCGUGGGAGCUGCGUCUCCGCAGGCUACAAAGCCGGCCAUUUCCAGGUUGUUAGCAGCGUGCAUGUAGCUAGGUAGUUAGUGCAUGGGUUAGUGGCCGAUCUGGCGUGCGUGCCUCUGGGUAUUAAAGUGGCCACGGUGCUGGUGUGUAGGUGCGCCAGAGAAGAGAGAUGUAGCCUCUCAGUGUAUGUGUGCUCACCGUGAGGGUGUGUGUGUUGAGUUUGAGCUCAAGGAAAGCGUUCGUGCGCU
rnacentral:lncRNA from 1 species